GACGAACGCUGGCGGCGUGUCUAAUACAUGCAAGUCGAGCGAAUCGGCGGAAGGGUGAGUAACGCGUGGGUAACCUGCCCUUAAGUCAGGGAUACCAUUUGGUAACAGCUGCUAAUACCGGAUACUAAAGGAUGGACCUGCGAUGCAUUAGCUAGUUGGUAAGGUAACGGCUUACCAAGGGGAUGAUGCAAAGCCGGGUUGAGAGACUGAUCGGCAACAUUGGGACGGGGACACGGCCCAAACUCCUACGGGAGGCAGCAGUAGGGAAGCGUCCACAAUGGACGAAAUUCUGAUGGAGCAACGCCGCGUGAAUGAGGAAGGUUUUCGGAUCGUAAAGCUCUGUUGUUGGUGAAGCGGUAAUCAACCAAAAAGUCACGGCUAACUACGUGCCAGCAGCCGCGGUAAUUC
rnacentral:rRNA from 1 species